UGUGAGUUAAAUGAGCCCAAUAGGGUAAGG
rnacentral:piRNA from 1 species